rnacentral:rRNA from 1 species
AUUGAACGCUGGCGGAAUGCUUUACACAUGCAAGUCGAACGGCAGCACGGGGGCAGCCCUGGUGGCGAGUGGCGAACGGGUGAGUAAUACAUCGGAACGUGCCCGGUCGUGGGGGAUAACGUAGCGAAAGUUACGCUAAUACCGCAUACGAUCUGAGGAUGAAAGCGGGGGACCUUCGGGCCUCGCGCGAUCGGAGCGGCCGAUGUCAGAUUAGGUAGUUGGUGGGGUAAAGGCCUACCAAGCCGACGAUCUGUAGCUGGUCUGAGAGGACGACCAGCCACACUGGGACUGAGACACGGCCCAGACUCCUACGGGAGGCAGCAGUGGGGAAUUUUGGACAAUGGGCGCAAGCCUGAUCCAGCCAUUCCGCGUGCAGGACGAAGGCCUUCGGGUUGUAACUGCUUUUGUACGGAACGAAAAGGCUCUGGCUAAUACCUGGGGCUCAUGACGGUACCGUAAGAAUAAGCACCGGCUAACUACGUG